GACGAACGCUGGCGGCGUGCUUAACACAUGCAAGUCGAACGGACAGGCCCUGCUUUUGUGGGGUGCUCGUGUGGCGAACGGGUGAGUAACACGUGAGUAAACUGCCCUUGACUGUGGGAUAUCUUCAGGAAACUGGGGCUAAUACCGGAUAGGAGCUCCUGAUGCAUGGUGGGGGUUGGUAAGUUUCGGCGGUUGGGGCUGGACUCGCGGCUUAUCAGCUUGUUGGUGGGGUAGUGGCUUACCAAGGCUUUGACGGGUAGCCGGCCUGAGAGGGUGACCGGCCACAUUGGUACUGAGAGACGGCCCAGACUCCUACGGGAGGCAGCAGGGGGGAAUAUUGCAGAAUGGGCGGAAGCCUGAUGCAGCAACGCCGCGUGCGGGAUGAUGGCCUUCGAGUUGUAAACCGCUUUCGCCUGUGACGAAGCGUGAUUGACGGUAAUGGGUAAAGAAGCACCGGCUAACUACGUG
rnacentral:rRNA from 1 species